rnacentral:rRNA from 1 species
AUUGAACGCUGGCGGCAUGCCUUACACAUGCAAGUCGAACGGCAGCACGGGAGCAAUCCUGGUGGCGAGUGGCGAACGGGUGAGUAAUAUAUCGGAACGUGCCCAGUCGUGGGGGAUAACGUAGCGAAAGCUACGCUAAUACCGCAUACGAUCUACGGAUGAAAGCGGGGGAUCGCAAGACCUCGCGCGAUUGGAGCGGCCGAUAUCAGAUUAGGUAGUUGGUGAGGUAAAGGCUCACCAAGCCGACGAUCUGUAGCUGGUCUGAGAGGACGACCAGCCACACUGGGACUGAGACACGGCCCAGACUCCUACGGAGGCAGCAGUGGGGAAUUUUUGGGACAAUGGGCGCAAGCCUGAUCCAGCAAUGCCGCGUGCAGGAUGAAGGCC